CGCUGAAAGCAUCUAAGCGGGAAACUAGCCUCAAGAUGAGAUCUCACUGGAACCUUGAGUUCCCUAAAGGGCCGUUCGAAGACUACGACGUUGAUAGGUUGGGUGUGUAAGCGCUGUGAGGCGUUGAGCUAACCAAUACUAAUUGCCCGUGAGGCUUGACCAUAUAACACCCAAGCAAUU
rnacentral:rRNA from 1 species